rnacentral:rRNA from 1 species
UACGGAGGGUGCAAGCGUUGUCCGGAAUCACUGGGCGUAAAGGGCGCGUAGGCGGCUCAUGAAGGCUGUGGUGAAAGUCCGGGGCUCAACCUCGGGUCGGCCGUGGCGACUCGUGGGCUGGAGCACUGUAGAGGCGGGUGGAAUUCCGGGUGUAGCGGUGGAAUGCGUAGAGAUCCGGAAGAACACCAGUGGCGAAGGCGGCCCGCUGGGCAGUGGCUGACGCUGAGGAGCGAAAGCGUGGGGAGCGAACAGG